CAGCAGCCGCCGCGGUAAAACCGAGGGUGCAAGCGUUAAUCGGAAUUACUGGGCGUAAAGCGCGCGUAGGUGGUUCGCCAAGUUGGAUGUGAAAUCCCCGGGCUCAACCUGGGAACUGCAUCCAAAACUGGCGAGCUAGAGUAUGGUAGAGGGUGGUGGAAUUUCCUGUGUAGCGGUGAAAUGCGUAGAUAUAGGAAGGAACAUCAGUGGCGAAGGCGACCACCUGGACUGAUACUGACACUGAGGUGCGAAAGCGUGGGGAGCAAACAGGAUUAGAUACCCCUGUAGUCCCUGUCUCUUAUAC
rnacentral:rRNA from 1 species